CAUAUACACGUGUGAUAAAG
rnacentral:snRNA from 1 species